CUGCGUGAGCGCGGCCCUUCGGGCGCCUGGCCUGGACUGACGGGCGGGCGCUAGGGGUUCCGCCGCCGGGUAUCGCGAGCGGCAGGUGGAGGGGGCGGAGCCGCGCGUCCGCCGGCGAGGUGGGCUCGGAUGUGGCCGACGCGGGGCGCCUCGGGCUUAGCGCACCGCACCCGCCGCGCCGCCAGGUAGUCCCGGGCUGCACCGGCGGGAGGAGGAGCCUUGGCGGCGGCCGCGCCGCUUCCUCUCCGCUGCAAUUGUGGCCCGGCUCGGCCGGCGCUCACCCAACGGGAGUUGCAGUUCGAACUUAGCGUGGUGUGCAGCAUACAGAGGGAUGCCACAGCAUGAUGAUUGCCCAUGACACCUGCACACUUCUGCUGCCAUUGGCAGGGGCAUCUCAGAGAUCAUCUCCAGUAACCGGGGCUUGACUUCUGUGAUGAGUGAGUGAAUCCAGGUUGGUGAAACAGAUGGCCAUUGAAUGACCAAAAUGCACUCUCGUUCUGGUGCUUGAAGUUGGGAUGCCUUCUGCCCAGACAAGUAGCUUCAUGGACUAUUAAUUACGGAAUUAAAAAGCCUAAACCUUCUCAUUUAGAAAGAUAAUAAAAUGUUUAAAGAUGUGCAUGACAUCUUGAAAAUUACAGUAAAAUCCUAUCAGCUUUCUUGGAAGGAGGUGUUACAGUGUGUUCACUCUUCCCCUGUUUGCCUUCACCACCCUCAGGCUCAAGAUCACUUACACUGGGGGAAGCAAGCCCUCUUGUGAGCAAUCUCAUGCAGAGGCCCACAUGGUAAGGAAAUAAAGCAUCCAGCUAACAUCAGCAAGGAACCACGACCUGUCAAACACCAUGUGCAUGUGCUUGAAAUGGAUCUUGACCUUUCAGGUGACUGCAGCCCUGGCUGACAGCUUGAUUGAGAUUUCAAGAGCAACUCUGGGCCAGAACACCAGGUCUCAUUUUUUUUUUAAAGCAUCAAUGUGCCCAGAAUAAAGACAAAACCAACGAACUAACCAACCAAACCAACUAAACAGAAGUUACCCAAAAAGAAAGGUGAGACUCAAUCUACAGAAUCACCUUGGCCUUUGGCUCCUGAAACACAACAUAAAACAAAACGCUUUUUAAAGUUGUAUUUCAGACCCAUACUUAAAACAAAACAACAACAAACAUUUUAAAUUCCUUCUCUGGGGUGCUUCAAGUGAUGAGGAAAUCAUCAGAAACUAUUUCAACAGUUUGACCCUCCUCGUCCCCACCCCAGGAACCAGACUGCUGGACUUGGCUGAGGAUAAAUGGAACUUGAGUUUCAAAACCUUCCUACCAGAUAAAGUUUCAAAUUUGUUGCCUUUGAAGACUGUGAAGAUGUGAAAUGUAGCAAACUGAAUCGAAUAUUUACCAACAGUUGUUUGGAGAAUUCUCUUACCUUCUUGGGCAAGAAACUGUUUACAGCCAUGACUGUAAGAGCCCUCCUUUUUAUUCUUCUCAGUAACUGGGGCUGCCUGGUAUCUGAAGCUCUCUUAUCUGCCCAGACAUUCUUUGAUCCACCCACCUUAAACAGAACAGGAAAAAGGUUUUGUUUUGAUUUUGUUUUUAAGCAUUGUCAUGCUUUAAAUGGAAAAAUGUUAGGUUGUGUAUUAGACUAUACAAAUUAAAAACAUCUAAAAAUAACACCUCAGAA